UACGGGAGGCAGCAGUGGGGAAUAUUGCACAAUGGGCGCAAGCCUGAUGCAGCCAUGCCGCGUGUAUGAAGAAGGCCUUCGGGUUGUAAAGUACUUUCAGUCGUGAGGAAGGUGUUAAGGUUAAUAACCUUAGCAAUUGACGUUAGCGACAGAAGAAGCACCGGCUAACUCCGUGCCAGCAGCCGCGGUAAUACGGAGGGUGCGAGCGUUAAUCGGAAUUACUGGGCGUAAAGGGCACGCAGGCGGUUAAUUAAGUUGGAUGUGAAAUCCCCGGGCUUAACCUGGGAAUGGCAUUCAAGACUGGUUAGCUAGAGUCUUGUAGAGGGGGUAGAAUUCCAUGUGUAGCGGUGAAAUGCGUAGAGAUGUGGAGGAAUACCGGUGGCGAAGGCGGCCCCCUGGGACAAAGGACUGACGCUCAUGUGCGAAAGCGUGGGGAGCGAAACAGGGAUUAGAUACC
rnacentral:rRNA from 1 species